rnacentral:lncRNA from 1 species
UAAGGACAUCAUAUAAUUUAUCAUAUAUUUAGUACAAAAUACAGCUAUUUUGUAUAUCUAAUAAAGGUUGUUUUUCCAGUCUGUAUCACCUACCCUGUAUCGCAUACCCCGUAUCGCAUAGCUAAACCCGUAUCGCAUACCCCGUAUCGCAUGGUAAAACCCGUAUCGCAUACCUUUUUUUUUUUUUUUUUUUUUUUACAUAAAGUUUUUUGUUUUUUUUUUGCUUAAGAAAAAAUUUCCUCAAAAUAGGUCAUUUUUUAAUGACGUCAUUGUUUAGUAUGUAACGUCACGAACGUCAAGUUUUCAUAUUGUAUGUGACGUCACGAACAUCAAGUUUGCAUAUUUUUUGGCACACUAAAUGCAAC